GAUUCUGGUCUAUUAAAACAGAA
rnacentral:snRNA from 1 species